rnacentral:sRNA from 1 species
GUAUUCCAAAGUUGAUUACGUCUGAUAUGGUUAAAGAAGGUGCUGCUGUAAUUGAUGUGGGUAUCAACUAUGUCCACGAUCCAGUGACAGGAAAGACAAAAUUAGUUGGAGAUGUGGACUUUGAAGGAAAAGUGAAAGGGAGAGCCCAGAACAAGAAAAUCCAUCUUUAAUAAAAUUGAACUAGAAGGUGCAUGCAUCACAUCUGCUAGCUUUCUACGGACCUGAAUAUAGUCAUGUGUGGAGUACAAGGGAUGUGGAAUCCAUAGUCUCUGAAUGGGAGGCUACACUUUGGAUGCCACAAUAAUGAACAUCUCAAUAUAUUUAGAAAACUUGUGGAAACCUCAAGAUUCAGCAGCCAGAUGAAUGUAAGAAGAAAUAUAGUAAAUUCCCUCCAGAGCACUUGAUUCCUAGUUGCCUUCCAAGUUCAAUGGCAAGCUACUGACUUGUUAAGGAGCCCUCUGCUCUCUGGUUCACCAUG